rnacentral:rRNA from 1 species
UGUUUCCCCNGUGGAAACUAAGCAUAUCAAUAAGCGGAGGAAAAGAAACUAACAAGGAUUCCCCUAGUAACUGCGAGUGAAGCGGGAAAAGCUCAAAUUUAAAAUCUGGCGGUCUUUGGCCGUCCGAGUUGUAGUCUGGAGAAGCGUCUUCCGCGCUGGACCGUGUACAAGUCUCUUGGAACAGAGCGUCAUAGAGGGUGAGAAUCCCGUCUUUGACACGGACUACCAGUGCUUUGUGAUGCGCUCUCAAAGAGUCGCGUUGUUUGGGAAUGCAGCGCAAAAUGGGAGGUGAAUUCCUUCUAAAGCUAAAUAUUGGCGAGAGACCGAUAGCGAACAAGUACCGUGAGGGAAAGAUGAAAAGCACUUUGGAAAGAGAGUUAAACAGUACGUGAAAUUGCUGAAAGGGAAACGCUUGAAGUCAGUCGCGUCGUCCGGAACUCAGCCUUGCUUCGGCUUGGUGCACUUUCCGGUUGACGGGCCAGCAUCGAUUUUGACCGCUGGAAAAGGGCUGGAGGAAUGUGGCACCUUCGGGUGUGUUAUAGCCUUCAGUCGCAUACAGCGGUUGGGAUCGAGGAACGCAGCGCGCCUUAUGGCUGGGGUUCGCCCACAUUCGCGCUUAGGAUGCUGGCAUAAUGGCUUUAAACGACCCGUCUUGAAACACGGACCAAGGAGUCUAACAUGCCUGCGAGUGUUUGGGUGGAAAACCCGAGCGCGUAAUGAAAGUGAAAGUUGAGACCUCUGUCGUGGAGGGCAUCGACGCCCGGACCUGAAGUUUUCUGACGGAUCCGCGGUAGAGCAUGUAUGUUGGGACCCGAAAGAUGGUGAACUAUGCCUGAAUAGGGUGAAGCCAGAGGAAACUCUGGUGGAGGCUCGUAGCGAUUCUGACGUGCAAAUCGAUCGUCAAAUUUGGGUAUAGGGGCGAAAGACUAAUCGAACCCUCUAGGUU